GCUUUGGUGGCCUAGUGGUUAGAGCGUCCGCCUCGGAUGCGGGAGGUCGUGGGUUCGAUCCCCGAUCGAGUCA